rnacentral:rRNA from 1 species
UACAGAGGGUGCGAGCGUUGUCCGGAAUCACUGGGCGUAAAGGGCGCGUAGGUGGCGCUCCAAGUCUGUGGUGAAAGCUCGACGCUCAACGUCGAGUCGGCCAUAGAGACUGGAGGGCUCGAGCACUGUAGGGGCAGAUGGAAUUCCGGGUGUAGCGGUGGAAUGCGUAGAGAUCCGGAAGAACACCGGUGGCGAAGGCGGUCUGCUGGGCAGUUGCUGACACUGAGGCGCGACAGCGUGGGGAGCAAACAGGGAUUAAGAAACCCC